AGGCGCGUAGCUCAGAUGGGAGAGCACUACCUUGACGCGGUAGGGGUCAGCGGUUCGAGUCCGCUCGCGCCUA
rnacentral:tRNA from 1 species